GGCUCUCAAGCUUUGGUGGAAGGGCGUUCCUUUCUUGCAACAUCCAAGGUACUAUAAUCCUAGAUACAGAGAAGAAGCCAUUCUAUCUGAUGAGAAGCUUCAAUGUUGUCCGGCUUUUGCAUUUGAGACACAGAACAAUCAACAGGCUGGAGAGCACUGUUUCAGUCCUGCAGAUCACUCAACUUCAAGACAUCAUGGCUUCACUUGGAGGGAUGCAAAAUGGCCCUGGUGCUAAAUGCAGUAUUGGAAUAAUAUCAAUACCCUAUGCACUUUCCCAAGGAGGAUGGUUAUGUUUGAUGCUACUUCUUUUAGUAGCAAUUAUAUGUUGUUACACAGGAA
rnacentral:misc_RNA from 1 species